rnacentral:misc_RNA from 1 species
AGAAGUAUAAGCAAAUUAUGGGAGGAGUUCUCUCAACACAAAUACUUAAUUGCAGGGAAUGGACAACAUAUCAGUUUCUGGAGAGAGAAAUGGAUAGGCAAUUCCUCCUUAAUGGUUGCUUAUCCUAACGUGUUCCAGAUAGCAAGGGAGCCUAACUCUACUAUUCAGCAAUACAGAGAAGGGAAUUCUUGGAAAAUCAUCCUCAGAAGGAACAUACAGGACGGGGAAAUGGAGGAGUUGGUCAGCCUACUAGCAGCACUUCACAGUGUUGCAAUUAACAGUGGAACACCAGAGCAACUCAACUCAACUGGGGAGAAAAAGGGGUGGGAAGUUCUCAGUUAAAGCAGCU